CAGCCGUAAACUAUGCGCGUUAGGUGUACUGGUGACCACGAGUCACCGGGGUGCCGAAGGGAAACCGUGAAACGUGCCGCCUGGGAAGUUCGGUCGCAAGGCUGAAACUUAAAGGAAUUGGCGGGGGGAGCACCACAACGGGUGGAGCCUGCGGUUUAAUUGGACUCAACGCCGGAAAUCUCACCGGAUAGGACAGGCAUAUGAUAGUCGGGCUGAAGACUCUACUUGAUGAUCUGAGAGGAGGUGCAUGGCGUCAGUGACU
rnacentral:rRNA from 1 species